rnacentral:rRNA from 1 species
UACGAAGGGGGCUAGCGUUGUUCGGAAUCACUGGGCGUAAAGCGCACGUAGGCGGAUGUGUCAGUCAGGGGUGAAAUCCCGGAGCUCAACUUCGGAACUGCCUCUGAUACAGCACAUCUUGAGUUCGAGAGAGGUGGGUGGAAUUCCUAGUGUAGAGGUGAAGUUCGUAGAUAUUAGGAAGAACACCGGUGGCGAAGGCGGCCCACUGGCUCGAUACUGACGCUGAGGUGCGAAAGCGUGGGGAUCAAACAGGAUUAGAAA